UAAGUACUCCCUCCGUCCUAAAAUAAGUGUCUUAAACUUAAUAUAACUUUAUACUAAAGUUAGUACAAAGUUAAGACAUUUAUUUUGGGACGGAGGGAGUAUGUA
rnacentral:pre_miRNA from 1 species